rnacentral:rRNA from 1 species
AGCUUGCUCUCGGGUGACGAGCGGCGGACGGGUGAGUAAUGUCUGGGAAACUGCCUGAUGGAGGGGGAUAACUACUGGAAACGGUAGCUAAUACCGCAUAAUGUCGCAAGACCAAAGUGGGGGACCUUCGGGCCUCAUGCCAUCAGAUGUGCCCAGAUGGGAUUAGCUAGUAGGUGGGGUAACGGCUCACCUAGGCGACGAUCCCUAGCUGGUCUGAGAGGAUGACCAGCCACACUGGAACUGAGACACGGUCCAGACUCCUACGGGAGGCAGCAGUGGGGAAUAUUGCACAAUGGGCGCAAGCCUGAUGCAGCCAUGCCGCGUGUGUGAAGAAGGCCUUCGGGUUGUAAAGCACUUUCAGCGGGGAGGAAGGCGUUAAGGUUAAUAACCUUGGCGAUUGACGUUACCCGCAGAAGAAGCACCGGCUAACUCCGUGCCAGCAGCCGCGGUAAUACGGAGGGUGCAAGCGUUAAUCGGAAUUACUGGGCGUAAAGCGCACGCAGGCGGUCUGUCAAGUCGGAUGUGAAAUCCCCGGGCUCAACCUGGGAACUGCAUUCGAAACUGGCAGGCUAGAGUCUUGUAGAGGGGGGUAGAAUUCCAGGUGUAGCGGUGAAAUGCGUAGAGAUCUGGAGGAAUACCGGUGGCGAAGACGGCCCCCUGGACAAAGACUGACGCUCAGGUGCGAAAGCGUGGGGAGCAAACAGGAUUAGAUANCCUGGUAGUCCACGCCGUAAACGAUGUCGAUUUGGAGGUUGUGCCCUUGAGGCGUGGCUUCCGGA